UACGAAGGGGGCUAGCGUUGCUCGGAAUCACUGGGCGUAAAGCGCACGUAGGCGGAUCUUUAAGUCGGGGGUGAAAUCCUGGAGCUCAACUCCAGAACCGCCUUCGAUACUGAGGGUCUUGAGUCCGGGAGAGGUGAGUGGAACUGCGAGUGUAGAGGUGAAAUUCGUAGAUAUUCGCAAGAACACCAGUGGCGAAGGCGGCUCACUGGCCCGGUACUGACGCUGAGGUGCGAAAGCGUGGGGAGCAAACAGG
rnacentral:rRNA from 1 species